rnacentral:lncRNA from 1 species
CAGAACCCAAAUGGGGUAAUUAAGGGCGUUUGACGCUGUUUCUAGCAUGUGGGUACUCAGCUGUCAGAUGCCACGCCGGACGGGUCAAACCCUUUUCGCUGCCAGGUCAGCUCACGUCGGGAUCAAUUUUGUGCUCCAAGCAUUACAAAUCUCAUAACCAUUGGUCGAUCAGGUCAGUUCUGAGAGCUGACGAGACCUAUGGUGGGUGGGUUCCACCUGAAAUGUGGUUCUGCGAGAGUAUUAGCGAUAAUUAUGGUCCGAUAAAAUCUUAGCCCUACGAGGUGUCUGUCAAAGGGUUUUCAAGGAAUCGGGCACAGGCCAAAGACCGGUUCGAUGCCUACAAUGUGGGGUCAACUGCCACUACACAUGAAGCCAAUCAAGAAAACACUUCAACGAGGGACAGAAAAAUGUUUCUUACUUCUUCUCAAAGUCGGUACCACAUACGUAUUGAGGCCAGUAUAUCACUAAUUAAGCACCAGGGUAAAAAAAAAAAGAAAAGGAGCAUAGCGGGUGUGUAUGCGUAUAUGCCAAAUUAAUAUAUGAGAAAAGUUUAUUGAUCUCGUAGGUCUUGAACGGCGUGGAUGCUUGAGUUUUAAUUGAAGUACGUAGCAUGGUUCCUCUUAAUUUGCUUCGACUUAUUGACGAUCGAUCAGGAUAGGCGAGGGGCACAACGACACUUGCGUGGGUACGUACGAGACCGACACCAGUUUAAAACCGGCGUGCACAGUACUGCCAGCGGUGACACGUUGGUCGGAUGCGCGCCAAGUUGACACGAAAGUCGUACGUCGUACGUGGUCGCCGGAAACGGCCAAGCGUCAAGGAACGGCAUGGCACUUCAUCUUCAUGUGACAGCAUGGACGUGCCUAUAAAACCGUCAACAUCUCGGUCAA